rnacentral:rRNA from 1 species
GUGGGGAAUCUUCCACAAUGGACGAAAGUCUGAUGGAGCAACGCCGCGUGAGUGAAGAAGGGUUUCGGCUCGUAAAGCUCUGUUGUCGGGGACGAAUGUGCAGUAUUUGAAUAAAGUACUGUAAUGACGGUACCUGACGAGGAAGCCACGGCUAACUACGUGCCAGCAGCCGCGGUAAUACGUAGGUGGCAAGCGUUGUCCGGAAUUAUUGGGCGUAAAGGGAGCGCAGGCGGGAAGGUAAGUCGGUCUUAAAAGUGCGGGGCUCAACCCCGUGAUGGGAUCGAAACUAUCUUUCUUGAGUGCAGGAGAGGAAAGUGGAAUUCCUAGUGUAGCGGUGAAAUGCGUAGAUAUUAGGAGGAACACCAGUGGCGAAGGCGACUUUCUGGACUGUAACUGACGCUGAGGCUCGAAAGCCAGGGGAGCGAACGGGAUUAGAUACCCCAGUAGUCC